rnacentral:piRNA from 1 species
UGGUGAACAUCAAUGUGAAAAUCCUCA